GUUAAGCGACUAAGCGUACACGGUGGAUGCCCUGGCAGUCAGAGGCGAUGAAGGACGUGCUAAUCUGCGAUAAGCGUCGGUAAGGUGAUAUGAACCGUUAUAACCGGCGAUUUCCGAAUGGGGAAACCCAGUGUGAUUCGUCACACUAUCAUUAACUGAAUCCAUAGGUUAAUGAGGCGAACCGGGGGAACUGAAACAUCUAAGUACCCCGAGGAAAAGAAAUCAACCGAGAUUCCCCCAGUAGCGGCGAGCGAACGGGGAGCAGCCCAGAGCCUGAAUCAGUGUGUGUGUUAGUGGAAGCGUCUGGAAAGGCGCGCGAUACAGGGUGACAGCCCCGUACACAAAAAUGCACAUGCUGUGAGCUCGAUGAGUAGGGCGGGACACGUGGUAUCCUGUCUGAAUAUGGGGGGACCAUCCUCCAAGGCUAAAUACUCCUGACUGACCGAUAGUGAACCAGUACCGUGAGGGAAAGGCGAAAAGAACCCCGGCGAGGGGAGUGAAAAAGAACCUGAAACCGUGUACGUACAAGCAGUGGGAGCCUCUUUAUGGGGUGACUGCGUACCUUUUGUAUAAUGGGUCAGCGACUUAUAUUCUGUAGCAAGGUUAACCGAAUAGGGGAGCCGAAGGGAAACCGAGUCUUAACUGGGCGUUAAGUUGCAGGGUAUAGACCCGAAACCCGGUGAUCUAGCCAUGGGCAGGUUGAAGGUUGGGUAACACUAACUGGAGGACCGAACCGACUAAUGUUGAAAAAUUAGCGGAUGACUUGUGGCUGGGGGUGAAAGGCCAAUCAAACCGGGAGAUAGCUGGUUCUCCCCGAAAGCUAUUUAGGUAGCGCCUCGUGAAUUCAUCUCCGGGGGUAGAGCACUGUUUCGGCAAGGGGGUCAUCCCGACUUACCAACCCGAUGCAAACUGCGAAUACCGGAGAAUGUUAUCACGGGAGACACACGGCGGGUGCUAACGUCCGUCGUGAAGAGGGAAACAACCCAGACCGCCAGCUAAGGUCCCAAAGUCAUGGUUAAGUGGGAAACGAUGUGGGAAGGCCCAGACAGCCAGGAUGUUGGCUUAGAAGCAGCCAUCAUUUAAAGAAAGCGUAAUAGCUCACUGGUCGAGUCGGCCUGCGCGGAAGAUGUAACGGGGCUAAACCAUGCACCGAAGCUGCGGCAGCGACGCUUAUGC
rnacentral:rRNA from 1 species